rnacentral:rRNA from 1 species
GACGUAGGAGGCGAGCGUUAUCCGGAUUUAUUGGGCGUAAAGGGCAAGUAGGCGGUUGUCAAAGUUGGGCGUGACAACUCCCGGCUCAACUGGGAGGGUGCGUUCAAAACUAGGCAACUAGAGGGCAGGAGAGGGAAGUGGAAUUCCCAGUGUAGCGGUGGAAUGCUCAGAUAUUGGGAAGAACACCAGUGGCGAAGGCGGCUUCCUGGCCUGCACCUGACGCUGAGAGGCGAAAGCUAGGGUAGCAAACGGGCUUAGAUACCCCUGUAGUCCCUGA